rnacentral:lncRNA from 1 species
AUUUGUUCAAUAAUAGGCAUUAAAACAUCAUCAUAUCUAUGUUCUGCAAAUUUUUGACUAAUCAUAUAUGCUUGUUGUAAAAAUGAACAUGAAGUUGGAUAAUAAAUACCAGAAAGAACAUUAGUAGCAUUAUAAAAACUAAUCAAAAAAUCUUCCAAAUUUUUUUCUUUAUUCUAAUCAAUUUCAGUCAAUAUAAAGCCUAAUCCACGAUCAUUAAUAUAUGCACUUAAUAAGUUUUUAUAUGGGUAUGCAUCAUGUAUCAUGCUAUAUGUUGAGUUCCAACGAGUAAUUACAUUAAGUUUAAAUUUUUUAA